rnacentral:rRNA from 1 species
UUCGCAAUGCCCGAAAGGGUGACGAAGCGACGCCGCGUGGGUGAGGAAGGCCUUCGGGUUGUAAAGCUCUGUCAGGAGUUAAGAAAUGUAAGUGCGCUAAUAUCGCAUUUAUUUGACGAAGGCUCCAAAGGAAGUCACGGCUAACUCUGUGCCAGCAGCCGCGGUAAUACAGAGGUGGCAAGCGUUGUUCGGAAUUAUUGGGCGUAAAGAGCACGUAGGUGGGUUUGUAAGUCAGAUGUGAAAGCCUUCUGUUCAACGGAAGAAUUGCAUCUGAAACUACGAGUCUUGAGUGUAGGAGGGGAGAAUGGAACUUCUGGUGGAGCGGUGAAAUGCGUAGAUAUCAGAAGGAACGCCGGCGGCGAAAGCGAUUCUCUGGCCUAUUACUGACACUCAGUGUGCGAAAGCUAGGGGAGCAAACGGGAUUAGAUACCCCGGUAGUCCUAGCCGUAAACGAUGGGCACUAAGUAGAGGGGUUUU